UACGAAGGGGGCUAGCGUUGUUCGGAAUUACUGGGCGUAAAGCGCGCGUAGGCGGUGAUCUUUGUCAGAGGUGAAAUCCCGAGGCUCAACUUCGGAAUUGCCUUUGAAACGGGAUCGCUUGAGUCCGAGAGAGGAUGGCGGAAUUCCUAGUGUAGAGGUGAAAUUCGUAGAUAUUAGGAAGAACACCGGUGGCGAAGGCGGCGUUCUGGACUGGCAACUGACACUGAGGAACGAA
rnacentral:rRNA from 1 species